CCCGGGGAAACCCGGAUUAAUACCGCAUACGUCCUACGGGAGAAAGCAGGGGAUCUUCGGACCUUGCGCUAUUGGAUGAGCCUAAGUCGGAUUAGCUAGUUGGUGGGGUAAAGGCCUACCAAGGCGACGAUCCGUAGCUGGUCUGAGAGGAUGAUCAGCCACAUCGGGACUGAGACACGGCCCGAACUCCUACGGGAGGCAGCAGUGGGGAAUAUUGGACAAUGGGGGCAACCCUGAUCCAGCCAUGCCGCGUGUGUGAAGAAGGCUUUCGGGUUGUAAAGCACUUUCAGUAGGGAGGAAAACCUUAUGGUUAAUACCCAUGAGGCUUGACGUUACCUACAGAAGAAGCACCGGCUAACUCCGUGCCAGCAGCCGCGGUAAUACGGAGGGUGCAAGCGUUAAUCGGAAUUACUGGGCGUAAAGCGCGCGUAGGUGGUUUGGUAAGCGAGAUGUGAAAGCCCCGGGCUUAACCUGGGAACGGCAUUUCGAACUGUCAGACUAGAGUGUGGUAGAGGGUAGUGGAAUUUCCUGUGUAGCGGUGAAAUGCGUAUAUAUAGGAAGGAACACCAGUGGCGAAGGCGGCUACCUGGACCAACACUGACACUGAGGUGCGAAAGCGUGGG
rnacentral:rRNA from 2 species